rnacentral:rRNA from 2 species
UUGGAGCAGCGGACGGCAGACGGGUGAGUACGCGUGGGAAUCUACCUUUUGCUACGGAAUAACUCAGGGAAACUUGUGCUAAUACCGUAUGUGCCCUUCGGGGGAAAGAUUUAUCGGCAAAGGAUGAGCCCGCGUUGGAUUAGCUAGUUGGUGGGGUAAAGGCCCACCAAGGCGACGAUCCAUAGCUGGUCUGAGAGGAUGAUCAGCCACACUGGGACUGAGACACGGCCCAGACUCCUACGGGAGGCAGCAGUGGGGAAUAUUGGACAAUGGGCGCAAGCCUGAUCCAGCCAUGCCGCGUGAGUGAUGAAGGCCCUAGGGUUGUAAAGCUCUUUCACCGGUGAAGAUAAUGACGGUAACCGGAGAAGAAGCCCCGGCUAACUUCGUGCCAGCAGCCGCGGUAAUACGAAGGGGGCUAGCGUUGUUCGGAUUUACUGGGCGUAAAGCGCACGUAGGCGGACUUUUAAGUCAGGGGUGAAAUCCCAGAGCUCAACUCUGGAACUGCCUUUGAUACUGGAAGUCUUGAGUAUGGUAGAGGUGAGUGGAAUUCCGAGUGUAGAGGUGAAAUUCGUAGAUAUUCGGAGGAACACCAGUGGCGAAGGCGGCUC